UUAAAGCUUGCUUUUAUAAGGUUAGCGGCGGACGGGUGAGUAACACGUGGGCAACCUGCCUGUAAGAUCGGGAUAACGCCGGGAAACCGGGGCUAAUACCGGAUAGUUUUUUCCUCCGCAUGGAGGAAAAAGGAAAGACGGCUUUUGCUGUCACUUACAGAUGGGCCCGCGGCGCAUUAGCUAGUUGGUGGGGUAACGGCUCACCAAGGCAACGAUGCGUAGCCGACCUGAGAGGGUGAUCGGCCACAUUGGGACUGAGACACGGCCCAAACUCCUACGGGAGGCAGCAGUAGGGAAUCUUCCGCAAUGGACGAAAGUCUGACGGAGCAACGCCGCGUGAGUGAAGAAGGCCUUCGGGUCGUAAAACUCUGUUGCCGGGGAAGAACAAGUGCCGUUCGAACAGGGCGGCGCCUUGACGGUACCCGGCCAGAAAGCCACGGCUAACUACGUGCCAGCAGCCGCGGUAAUACGUAGGUGGCAAGCGUUGUCCGGAAUUAUUGGGCGUAAAGCGCGCGCAGGCGGCUUCUUAAGUCUGAUGUGAAAUCUUGCGGCUCAACCGCAAGCGGUCAUUGGAAACUGGGAGGCUUGAGUGCAGAAGAGGAGAGUGGAAUUCCACGUGUAGCGGUGAAAUGCGUAGAGAUGUGGAGGAACACCAGUGGCGAAGGCGGCUCUCUGGUCUGUAACUGACGCUGAGGCGCGAAAGCGUGGGGAGCAAACAGGAUUAGAUACCCUGGUAGUCCACGCCGUAAACGAUGAGUGCUAAGUGUUAGAGGGUUUCCGCCCUUUAGUGCUGCAGCUAACGCAUUAAGCACUCCGCCUGGGGAGUACGGCCGCAAGGCUGAAACUCAAAGGAAUUGACGGGGGCCCGCACAAGCGGUGGAGCAUGUGGUUUAAUUCGAAGCAACGCGAAGAACCUUACCAGGUCUUGACAUCCUCUGACCUCCCUGGAGACAGGGCCUUCCCCUUCGGGGGACAAAUGA
rnacentral:rRNA from 1 species